rnacentral:rRNA from 1 species
GUCCAUGCCGUAAACGAUGUCUACUAGCCGUUGGGCCUUUGAGGCUUUAGUGGCGCAGCUAACGCGAUAAGUAGACCGCCUGGGAGUACGGUCGCAAGACUAAACUCAAAUGAAUUGACGGGGCCCGCACAAGCGGUGGAGCAUGUGGUUUAAUUCGAUGCAACGCGAAGAACCUUACCUGGCCUUGACAUAGUAGAAACUUUCCAGAGAUGGAUUGGUGCCUUCGGGAAUCUACAUACAGGUGCUGCAUGGCUGUCGU